GCUAGGACUUCCAGUACUAUGUUGAAGAGGAGUGGUGAGAGUAGUCUCCUCGUCUUGUUCCAAUUCUCAAAGGGAAUGCUUUCACCUUUUCCCCAUUCAGUAUUAUGUUGGCUGUGGGUUUGUCAUAGAUGGCUUUUAUUACAUUAAGAGAGCCUAGAAAAUAUCACCUAGUGAAUAUCUACUUCCAUGAGGUGGAUAUUGAGGGAGAAACAGAAAAAUCCAAGACAAUCCCUUGUGGAAGAAAAUUCUCCAACCCAAAACUCAACCGAACUCAAAGGGCUGAACAGCGCGUCAAUUAAGACCUGUCAAAUAUAAUCACACGAUCUAAUAGUUUUAAAUACGCAAAAUAAAGAGCACCAAAGUAAAUGUCAUUCAGAAAUAACAACAACAAAACCAGAGCACCCCGAUGCAUUUAGGCCUCAAGGAAUUCCAAAGUAGUGUAUUAGGUAUAGUAAAUAUAUAUGUAAUUAGAAAUGUUUAGAGAAAUUAGAGAGAUGUGUUUUUUUUAAAAGAUUUGGCCUAUAAAACAGUUAACAAUUCCAGUAAAGAAGAAAACAGAAAUUCAAUGUUUGAUAUACAUACAUAAAAAUAAAUUUCAGGAAAAGUCCGUGUGAUAACAGAAUCCAAAUUAUAUAAAAGAUAGAAAUCUCAAUGUUUGUUUUUACACAUUUUAAGGAAAAAACAACCCUGAAAGCACAA
rnacentral:lncRNA from 10 species